UCUGAGUGCUUUUAUUUCCAGUAAUAUCCACUUUUUUCCUGAAAUUUUAUGGAAACGUGUCACUAGUCCUGUGACUUAUGAGAUGACUUACAGAUGAAAUUGACAACAUGAAUAAAUGAACAUGAUUGACCAGGAGGACUUGAGACAAGAAUCAAACCACAAAAGCCCUUAAAAGGAGAUUCCAAAAUGGUGUGAAAUUCAGAGAAGACCCGUUCAAUGGAAAUUCUGGUCACCAGACAACCAAAGGAGCUUUUGUGAGCUUUGAUGUCUCUUAAGUGAAGGAAAGUGUGAAAUGAAGAAGCAAAAGCAGGUUAUAUUACUUGGUACAGUUGAUGUUAAGAAAAAGAGAGAACCCUACUGGGCCUAACCUAAUUACGCCAGACCGGAGAGGUGAAGAAUUUCCUCUAGCUGGUAGCAGCAGCAGAAGUCCGAGAUUUGAAGUACGGGAAGGAUCUGAUGCCCUGUUUUUGGCUUGAAGGUGGAGGAAGCCAUGUGGAAAGGACAGAGUGGCUUCCAGCAGCCAAGAGCCAGCAGUCAGCAAGGAAAGAUGUCUUUGGUCCAGCAAGUGAGAGAACUGAGCUUGGGAGUGGGUCUUCCCCAGUGCCUCUAGGUGGGAAUGCAGCCCGACUGAUGCCUGAAUUUCAGCCUUUUGAGACCCUGAGCAGGCAGCCAGGCACAUAGGGCCAGGCUUCUGACCUGCGGAACCGUGAGCUAA